AACGGGAGGGAGACGGCUACCAGGGCGGGAAACUGCCGCUAAACGCUGCGGCUGGCGGAGUAAAUAGGUGAGGGUGGCGGCUGGGACCGACCUGAGAGCAGCUGAUCUGCUGUCCGGCAGGCUGCUGGCCUGAUGGAUCCCGUGUAAACAUCCAGGAAAAGCCAGGGUUUCUCGUCCGACACACCGUUGUUGCCCAUAUCUGUUUUCCUGGUGACAGCCUGGACCUUCUGAAGGCAAUCUGGAGGGAGCAAGCUCCUGUCUUUUGGGUUUGGAUAUAAUGACUGUCCUGCCUGUCAGAGGAGCGUCAGAAGCCAGUCCAAGGAGAGUCGUUACAGCAUGAGAGCAGAUCCCAUCUGCCCCUGACGCCUGUGACAGUAGGACCCUUCUCGGAGGGUUUCUGGGCCAUCUUUACUAUCCAAAGUCAGCUGUAUGAUGUCUCCUCCAGGACAGACGGGAUGCACAGGGGGAGCUCGUACCCCCCAGAGUUUCCUCAUCUCCCUCAGUGAAACAGCUGUAACGCUGAAGUCUGCUGUGCAGAUGCAUUUUUCUCUUUCCCCACCGGAGUCCAAGAGAAUUCAGAUACCCCCGGUUAAAGCCACUGACUUUGCAAUUUAUGGUACCUCAACAGUAGGGAGAGACAAACUCUGAGCUGGUUAAAACAUGUUCUGAAAAAUGACUUGGAUUUGCUGGGCAAAGACAAGCAGAGUUUUCUCUCGCACGCUGUGCACAUACCUCCGUGAUUGACUUGUUUUGUUUUGAGUUUCCACAGUCUGUUUGCACAGACCUGACCAUCAGGCAACACUCUCCUCUGCUUCCUGCCUGAGAACAAACUGAAACAGUCAGCAGAAGCAAUCUGAUGUCCUUUACUAUGGAAAGCACUGACCACAAUUUGUCCCGCCAGGGAAAUCAGUGCUUUAAGUAUAUGACUAAUCUACUGACUUCAUAGGAAUAUCUUUUGAUGGAUUUUUUGAGCCUGCUGUCAGUGACUGCAGCGACAAAAGCUACAUUAUACUGAGCACGCGCUGACGCGCUCGGCAGAGCGAGUGCCAGAGCUCCGCGUCCGGCCUAUUGACCCGUCCGUCCUGCGCUUGGGGGAAUCCUGCCGGCAAAUCUCGUGGCCUCCCGCAUGAGGGGACCCAGCUCCUGCACCCUUGGCUUUCAGUCAGCUGAAAGGAGGCCAUCCUAACGCUGGGAAUAUACUCAGAAAAUACAUAUGAGGUCAUUCCCAGGAGUCUGCUUCGGUAUUUGAGGCCCUUGACAUUGAGAGGAGCUAAA